GGGGGGUGGAGGCUGUUAUGGCAACGAGCGCGUGCGGUCCCUCGUGCCUUGGAAGCGUCACUGACCGUGAAAUGAGGAGGGGGCAGGAAGAGGGAGGUGGGGAUGGGUGGGAGGCAAAGGUAAGUGCGUGGGUGGGCUAAAAGGAAGGUAAUCUUCAGGUUAGUAGGGCUCUUUUUAGAAUGUGAAAUGAGGAGGGGUUUGUUCGUAGCCUGGGGAGGGCCUGUGGGGUCUGUGUGCAAAAUCUUGUUGCAGUUUUUUUCCCCCCAGGUGGCAGCGGGAGUAUCCUUGUUUCAUCCCCCCCUCCCCAGGAUGACUUCUCUUCUGAGUCCAGUUCUCUGGAUUGAAAGGCAACACCCGCGAGCUCCCUUCUGCCAACUAGAUCCAAAUUCUGUCUCACAACACUGAUUACUGCGACAGAUGGAUAAAUUUCCCUCAUAAGCAUAAAAGCAAACAAAGCCUUCUUGGAGUGUGAUCUGGCAAGACCUUUAAAGAAACUGAAACCUCUUGGCCAGUAGAAGACCAUCAGA